AUUGAACGCUGGCGGCAGGCUUAACACAUGCAAGUCGACCGAUUGGCGGACGGGUGAGUAAUGCUUGGGAAUCUGGCUUAUGGAGGGGGAUAACGACGGGAAACUGUCGCUAAUACCGCGUACCAUCGUAUAUGCCCAAGUGGGAUUAGGUAUUUGGUGGGGUAAUGGCCUACCAGGCCGACGAUCUCUAGCUGUUCUGAGAGGAUGACCAGCCACACCGGGACUGAGACACGGCCCGGACUCCUACGGGAGGCAGCAGUGGGGAAGAUUGCGCAAUGGGGGCAACCUGACGCAGCCAUGCCGCGUGAAUGAAGAAGGCCUGCGGGUUGUAAAGUUCUUUCGGUGACGAGGCGUUAAUCACAGAAGAAGCACCGGCUAACUCCGUGCCAGCAGCCGCGGUAAUUC
rnacentral:rRNA from 1 species